AGGAGCCCCUUGGUCUUCAUGUCUUUGGUGUGUGCACUCUUGAACACUUGCCAGGCACACAGGGUGCAUGACAACAAGCCUAAUAUUAUCCUGAUCAUGGUUGAUAACCUGGGUAUUGGAGAUCUGGGCUGCUAUGGCAAUGACACCAUCAGGACGCCUCACAUCCACUGCCUUGCCAGGGAAGGCGUGCGACUGACUCAGCACAUCUCUGCCACCUCCAUCUGCAGCCCAAGCUGGUCCGUGUUCUUGACGGGAAGAUACCCGAUCUGAUCAGGUAUGCUCCAUUAUUUUGUGAUUAAAAAGGUGGCUGAUACCCUGAAGGAACACUGGGAAACCAUGGUGCCUGUGCCCUACCAAUUCUCAGAACUGAAUCAGGGCAGGAUGUGGCUGAAGCCUUGCUGUGGGGUGUUCCCAUUUUGUCUGUGUGACAAGGAAGGGGAACUCUCUCAGCCCUGGGGUCCUAACGAGUAGAGGUAA
rnacentral:lncRNA from 1 species